UAACAAUGAUUCCCCCAGUAACGGCGAGUGAACAGGGAAAAGCUCAAAGUUGGAAGCUCCUGGCCCUAGGCUAGGCGCAUUGUAAACUAAAGCUGUAAAGUAGUUCGGUUGGCCUGGUAAAAAAGUUCCCUGGAAUGGGGCGACAUGGAGGGUGAAAUCCCCGUCUUUGGCCAGAGUUCAGCCGUGCGUUUGCUUUGCUGCGAAGAGUCAGGUUGUUUGGGAAUGCAGCCUAAAAUGGGAGGUAGACUUCUCCUAAAGCUAAAUAUUGACGAAAGACCGAUAGCGAACAAGUACCGUGAGGGAAAGAUGAAAAGCACUUUGAAAAGAGGGUCAAAAAGUACGUGAAAUUGCUGAAAGGGAACCGUAUGAAAUCAGCCUGAUGUGUGGGUAAUCAGCCUGGGCUUUGGCCUGGGUGCACUUGCCCAUGUAUUAGCCUGCGACAGUUUGACCUGGGGGAAAAAAGAUGGGGGAAUGUGGCCUCGGCUUCGGUCGAGGUGUUAUAGCCCCUGUCAAAAUACCUUGGGUUGGACUGAGGACUGCAGCGAGCCGUAAGGCAUGGGUCUCGGGCGCUCUGUCUCGGCGAAAAGUGAAUCUCUGCUUCGGGUGGUGCGCUUUUCUUCAGGGCAGACUCGCCUGUUUCUUCUUUCUCUCGCUUAGGUCGUAGGCAUAAUGAUUUUAUAUGACCCGUCUUGAAACACGG
rnacentral:rRNA from 2 species